UGGGGAAUAGUGGACAAUGGGGGGAACCCUGAUCCAGCCAUGCCGCGGGUGUGAAGAAGGCCUUAUGGUUGUAAAGCACUUUAAGCGAGGAGGAGGGUACUGGGAUGAAUAGUACCAGGUACUGGACGUUACGCGCAGAAUAAGCACAGGCUAAGUCGGUGCCAGCAGCCGCGGUAAUACAGAGGGGGCGAGCGUUAAUCGGAUUUACUGGGCGUAAAGCGUGCGUAGGCGGCUAAUUGAGUCGGAUGUGAAAUCCCCGAGCUUAACUUCGGAAUUGCAUUCGAUACUGGUUAGCUAGAGUGUGGGAGAGGAUGGUAGAAUUCCAGGUGUAGCGGUGAAAUGCGUAGAGAUCUGGAGGAAUACCGAUGGCGAAGGCAGCCAUCUGGCCUAACACUGACGCUGAGGUACGAAAGCAUGGGGAGCAAACAGG
rnacentral:rRNA from 1 species